rnacentral:rRNA from 1 species
CUACGGGAGGCAGCAGUGGGGAAUAUUGCACAAUGGGCGGAAGCCUGAUGCAGCGACGCCGCGUGGGGGAUGACGGUCUUCGGAUUGUAAACUCCUUUCAGUAGGGACGAAGCGUGAGUGACGGUACCUGCAGAAGAAGCACCGGCUAACUACGUGCCAGCAGCCGCGGUAAUACGUAGGGUGCGAGCGUUGUCCGGAAUUACUGGGCGUAAAGAGCUCGUAGGCGGUUUGUCGCGUCGUUUGUGAAAACCCGGGGCUCAACUUCGGGCUUGCAGGCGAUACGGGCAGACUUGAGUGUUUCAGGGGAGACUGGAAUUCCUGGUGUAGCGGUGAAAUGCGCAGAUAUCAGGAGGAACACCGGUGGCGAAGGCGGGUCUCUGGGAAACAACUGACGCUGAGGAACGAAAGCGUGGGUAGCAAACAGGAUUAGAUACCCUGGUAGUCCACGCCGUAAACGGUGGGCGCUAGGUGUGGGUUCCUUCCACGGGAUCUGUGCCGUAGCUAACGCAUUAAGCGCCCCGCCUGGGGAGUACGGCCGCAAGGCUAAAACUCAAAGAA